UAAUUGAAAAUAUAAAUUUAGGAUUGUAAUUUGAGCGUUUUUGAAAGGAGAUGAUACUGGAUUGCGGAGUAGUGGCACUUCAAUGGCGGCCGCGUCGGAGCAUUAAGACUCUCUGUAAUUCGGCUUCUCCGUCUCUUACGGCGGAGCAGCUCCGCCAACAGCUCGAUACUCUUCACAAGGAGGCAGACACCACAAGGAUCAAAGCCAGUAAUGCAAGGCUUAGACUCAUUCGGUUAUCCGAAGCAGUUGAGAAGAUUAGACGGCAAGCGGCGGUUAGUGUUCAGACUGGAAAGGAAAAUGAAGCAAGGGAGUUGCUUUUUCAAAAGAAGAAAAUCAUGCAAGCCAUGGAGAAGUUGAAGGCUCGUAUCGAAUUGUUUGAUCAGUUUUCGGUGAAACUGAAUGAGGCAAUCUCCAUGAAGGAAAGUCUACUUAUUGGGAAUAUGACUCUAGACCUGGAGGUUAGUGAGUCAGAACCCUCUAGUCCCGUUCGAAUCGUAUCACCGACAGAGGAAAACAUUAAAGAUGAUGACCUGCAUUUGGAUUCGGAUAACAUGGAAUUCGAAGAAGGUCAGGAAAUGCAAGUUUCAUCCGAGAAUCAAAGAACCAACCACAGUGAAAAUGGCUGUAACAGCCUCGAAGAUUCUGUCAGUGAAAAAAUGUUAAAUGACGCUGACGACGUCCGGGAUCCGAGGGAAUCCUCAACUUAUGAGGACUUUGUGACACACAUAGAUCAACAGCUCAACAAAAUCCAAGAAGAGCUUGAAACAUUUGUAAGGGUUUCAAACUUGUUUCUGGAAAGCAAAGAAAGGCCAGAGUAUUUGAAGGUACAAUAUGCAACGGAAAUUCUCGAGGGCGUUUAUCAUAUAAGAGAAAGGAUUGCCAUUAUCAAGCAAACAAAAUGAGGUCUAGGUCAAAGUGCCAUUUUGAUGGUCUCUUUUGUUUCAGCAAAUGACAUGAUGAAGGACCAGUAUCUCAUUUGAUCAGACUCCUAUAUGAUGAGAAUGUUCGAUGAAGAAUACUCCAACGCGAAAGAUCUUGUUUAAGAUGUUGCGCGCCAAGAUCAUCGAUUUUACAAUUCUAAUAAAAUGAAAUUGCACUUAGUAAAAAGGGAUAUAGAAGAUAGUAUUACUCAUGCUUACUAAGUGAUUAGGAUCUUACCCUUAUAGCCUUGACGAUGGCUCGCGCCUUCUCCUCGAGCUGAUUCCUUGGAUUCAACGUUCAAUCUUCUUUUCAAUUCCAAAUAUAGUACUUUGAUUCUUGUGUGGAUAAAA